UAUGAAUUAAAAUAAAUCAAAUUCGAACGGAGUCAACAAACGAACAUGCGCACACGUUGACACGACCGACCGUUCAGCGCGGAAAUGUAAAAGUAGCUAAAAGCAAAGCGAAUGCCAAGCACACAACAAAAUUCAUUACGAGCUGGGGCGUUCGCUCGCUCUGUUGGGUUGACGCUGUUGCUGUUGCUGGCGCUGCUGCGAGCAGCCGACUAAAAUUCAUAAUCAAGUUGAAAGCGGUUCAAACCGCAAGCAAGGUGCAAACCGAGUGGCACGCACACACCAACAACAACCAACGCUAACUGUAAUUUCGGCUAACAGCGCGCGCAGCUGCUUACAACGAUAACAACAACAACAGCAACAACAUACAAGCCUGUUGUGCUUAGCAACGACACAAUGGUCCCAAACCAGGGCUGCAUCAAGCAACAUGCUGGAGCCAUGUGACGAGUGAGCACACAUUCGCCACUUGCAAAUCCAACCAGAACCAAUUUGAAUCGUUCAUCAACGAGCGAAUGCCGAUGGGAAAGCAGCAGGCGGCAAUAAAUACAAACGAAAAACGUAAACGUGUCAAAACACAGAAAAUGCUGCAGCAGAGAUGCGCAACAGAACGGUUACAGACUUUUAUAUAGGAUAUGUAGCCGAAUGAUAUAAACAAAAACAGCAAGAGAAUUGAUGAUGAUAACAUAUUAAAAAGUAAAAAUACUUAGUAAAAUUGAAAAAUAAAGAACACAAGAUGAAGGAACCUAUUCAAAUCAGCUAUAAAAAUUUUGAAACACUGAAUCUUUUACUUUCUCUUGAGCUAAGAAAAAUUAUUGUAAAAAUUUUUAAAUUAAUUGAAGAGCAAUAUUAAUUACC